GAGUGCCGGUAAGGACUCUAGUGGGGACUCUACCCCACCAUUGCGCAGGCUCUGGGAGAGCUGUCAAGAGGCUAGGAAUGGUGGUCAACCACCUGAGUGAGGUCUCUCUGAUCUGUGACCCAAGGGAUGUCACUCACUCUGCAGCAAGGGGCCCUCUCUGGGCCUCAGCUUGCUUCUCCAGUGAGAAAUUGCCAAGCCUGGCCACCUGCCUGAAAUGAGGAUGGACAACGGUUCAAAAAGGGGCUGCUUCAUCAGCCUGGAUCCCAAAGAAGAUAACAUGAAGCGGGGACAUACUUGACCCAUGACAGAUGGGCAGCUUGAGCAAGAAAUAAACCUCUCUGACUGUCAGUCA